rnacentral:rRNA from 1 species
UGUAGCGACUGCGGAUGACAUUAUCUAUUCCAUGAGGUGCGGUCGCGGCCCUCGGCGGGAGCAACAGCUACCGUCGGGCGGUAGAGGUAACACUUUCACGCGCCGCAUGUCUGAAUCCUUUUUUUACGAGCACCUUUCGUUCUCCUUCGGCGGGGCAACCUGCCGUUGGAACCUAUCAAAACCUUUUUUUGCAUCUAGCAUUACCUGUUCUGAUACAAACAAUCGUUACAACUUUCAACAAUGGAUCUCUUGGCUCUGGCAUCGAUGAAGAACGCAGCGAAAUGCGAUAAGUAGUGUGAAUUGCAGAAUUCAGUGAAUCAUCGAAUCUUUGAACGCACAUUGCGCCCCUUGGUAUUCCAUGGGGCAUGCCUGUUCGAGCGUCAUCUACACCCUCAAGCUCUGCUUGGUGUUGGGCGUCUGUCCCGCCUCUGCGCGCGGACUCGCCCCAAAUUCAUUGGCAGCGGUCCUUGCCUCCUCUCGCGCAGCACAUUGCGCUUCUCGAGGUGCGCGGCCCGCGUCCACGAAGCAACAUUACCGUCUUUGACCUCGGAUCAGGUAGGGAUACCCGCUGAACUUAAGCAUAUCAAA